rnacentral:miRNA from 7 species
UAGCACCAUUCGAAAUCAGU